rnacentral:rRNA from 1 species
GACGAACCGUGCGAACGUUAUUCGGAAUCACUGGGCUUAAAGCGCGUGUAGGCGGAUGGGGACAUCGGUCGCUGAAAUCCCCCGGCUCAACCGGGGAACGGGCGCCGAAACGCCCCGUCUGGAGGGACGUAGGGGGGACCUGGAACUUCCGGUGGAGCGGUGAAAUGCGUUGAGAUCGGAAGGAACGCCCGUGGCGAAAGCGAGGUCCUGGACGUUUCUGUGACGCUGAGAC